rnacentral:rRNA from 1 species
AGAUUGAACGCUGGCGGCGUGCUUAACACAUGCAAGUCGAGCGGUAACGCGGGAGCAAUCCUGGCGACGAGCGGCGAACGGGUGAGUAAUGCUUGGGAAUCUGCCCAUUAGUGGGGAACAACCAGCCGAAAGGUUGGCUAAUACCGCAUACGCCCUACGGGGGAAAGCGGGGGAUCGUAAGACCUCGCGCUAAUGGAUGAGCCCAAGUCGGAUUAGCUUGUUGGUAGGGUAACGGCCUACCAAGGCGACAAUCCGUAGCUGGUCUGAGAGGACGACCAGCCACACUGGGACUGAGACACGGCCCAGACUCCUACGGGAGGCAGCAGUGGGGGAAUAUUGGACAAUGGGGGCAACCCUGAUCCAGCGACGCCGCGUGUGUGAAGAAGGCCUGCGGGUUGUAAAGCACUUUUAGUGGGGAUGAAAAGCUCAGGGUUAACACCUCUGGGUCUUGACCUAACCCACAGAAAAGCACCGGCUAACUCUGCGCCAGCAGCCGC